rnacentral:rRNA from 1 species
GGCUCAGGACGAACGCUGGCGGCGUGCCUAAUACAUGCAAGUCGAACGGUCUUUCUAUGGAAGCUUGCUUCCACUGAGAAGAUAGUGGCGAACGGGUGAGUAACACGUGGGUAACCUGCCCAUAAGAGGGGGGAUAACAUCCGGAAACGGGUGCUAAUACCGCAUAGUUUUCUUGAUCGCAUGAUCGGGAAAGGAAAGACGGCCUUUGUGCUGUCGCUUAUGGAUGGACCCGCGGCGUAUUAGUUAGUUGGUGAGGUAACGGCUCACCAAGACGAUGAUACGUAGCCGACCUGAGAGGGUGAUCGGCCACAUUGGGACUGAGACACGGCCCAAACUCCUACGGGAGGCAGCAGUAGGGAAUCUUCCGCAAUGGACGAAAGUCUGACGGAGCAACGCCGCGUGAGUGAAGAAAGGUUUUCGGAUCGUAAAACUCUGUUGUCAGAGAAGAACAAGUUGGAGAGUAACUGCUCCAGCCUUGACGGUAUCUGACCAGAAAGCCACGGCUAACUACGUGCCAGCCGCAGC